rnacentral:rRNA from 1 species
AAACCAGCACCUCAAGUGGUCAGGAUGAUUAUUGGGCCUAAAGCAUCCGUAGCCGGCUCAGUAAGUUUUCGGUUAAAUCUGUACGCUUAACGUACAGGCUGCCGGGAAUACUGCAGAGCUAGGGAGUGGGAGAGGUAGACGGUACUCGGGAGGAAGUGGUAAAAUGCUUUGAUCUUUCGAUGACCACCUGUGGCGAAGGCGGUCUACCAGAACACGUCCGACGGUGAGGGAUGAAAGCUGGGGGAGCAAACCGGAUUAGAAACCCGGGUAGUCC